CGUUGAAACACCGGUUCCUGUAAGAUCACCAAAGUUAAGCAACGUCAAGUCUGGUCAGUACCUAGAUGGGUAACCGCUUGGGAAUAUCAAGUGCUGUAAG